CAGGGUAUCCGUGAGAAGGUUGGAGAAGCAUUUCCACAUGCCUGAAAUCUGCCAGGACUUCCCUGGAAGACAAAGUGAACUGUUCAUUGGUUUGCUUCUGACUUUCCCAGUAACCUCCAAAUAUCAUACAAAUGAUAUGUGCCUUCAAAGUGGUGCCGUUCAGAUCAUGUUUUAAAACCUUCCACGUCUGGUGUUGGGAACGCAGCCGCGGCUUGGUGGUGGAUAGCAAGAGGCAAAGAUCAGCUUCCAGCGGGAGAACAAAGAUGCUUGGAGCUCUCUUGGCCCUCAUGAAAGCCCUUCCUGAAAGCCUUCUGGAAUGCUCCACGAAGCAGUUUACGGUCUGGGAGGAAAUGGCUUCUCCAUGUGCAAGUGCGCUGCCCUAUCCUCCACUCUCCCCCACACCUGUGGGAUCAUUGCUGGGGUUCAAGGAGCCCCACGGCCGGCCGUUGUCAGGGGAGACGGUGGUGGGGAGCAGAGCGUGGUAAUGGCAUUCCCUUCUGGAGAAAAAACAGUGCAGCCUUCUCACCACAGGACCUGCCUUCUGUGUCCACCACUGCUCCCCGGGGAGGAGGGCUCACCUCCAGAAGGCUCUGGAUAACUCAUUUCUGCUGGCAAUAGGCUGCAAAGCACUGGCAUGGGAAACGUGGGUUUUGCAGCGCUGGCCCACUCCCGAGGCCUCCUCGGCAGGCUGUGUGGUUGGCUGGAUUGCUGAUAUGGAAAAGGGAUUCUGGGAAGAGGUGCCCGUUCCGUAGCCACACCUGGAUGGACUUCUAAGGCCCUGAAAGCAGGUGAUGUUUGCAGGGUCUUAAAAACACGGAUUGGGUGCAGGGGUUUUGCCUUCAGGUUUUGAAGGACUCGAAGGAUGGGGCGGUCUGCAGCCAGCAGAGCAAACCUCUAGAGUGACAUCGUGGCCCAGACUUUGGGACGGUGACACAGUGUUCCAGCAGCCUCCCAGGGAAAGCCAGCUGGCCGGCCCAUGCCGGUGCACAUGGAGGAAAUUGAGCUGACAUUGUAGCACAGAGGUUUAAGACCCUGCUUGCAACACUGGCAUCCCAUAUCUGAGCGGGGGGUUCGAGUCCUGGCUGCUCCACUUCCAAUCUAGCUCCUUUCUAAUGCACCUGGGAAAAGCAGCAGAAGAUGACCCAAGUGCUUGGGCCCCUGCGACCCACAUGAGAGACCUGGAUGAAGCUCCUGGGUCUUGGCAUUUGCCUAGCUAAGCCCCAGCUGACCAUUUGUGACCAUUUGGGGAGGGAACCAAUGGAUGGAAGACCUCUCUGUCUCUGUCUUUCCCUCUUUUCUAUGUAACGCUGACUUUCAAAUUUACAAAAAGGAGCAAAGCUUGAAAUAUGUGGAAAGGAAAAGUAGAACGUGUGAAUUGUAAUCUUGAUUUUGCAUAUACCGAAUCACAAACAUGUGUGUGUGUGUGUGGUGUGUGUGUGUGUGCAUACAACACACGUGUGAUGCCUGAGUGUCACCGUCUGAUUUGGAAAUCCAUGGCAGAAAAAUCAGAUCCCCUAGGUGCGUGCGCGGUUUUGCCUAUGCUGAGUCUCGGGUUGCAGGAUUAUUGAACGGGUUUCUGUCUCUUUCCCCUCUGCAGCGGCAGAGAGCAACCUCCGUGCUAAUGCAAUAUUAAGGGCUGCAUAAUUAGCCACCUUAAUAAAUUUCCCCAAGAUGGAUAGGCAAUGUUUGGCUUUCUCUAGAAGAAAACAUUCCUCUAAUAGUAUUCCGUGGGAAGCUUUGGAGAGAACAAUGAACAGAAAUAUCUGGAAAUAUAUUAAGAUAUAUGUGCAUAUAUUGGACAUUAGCACCAUACUCUAAGCAUAUUGGGAAUAUGCUUCAAAAUAUUUCAAACAUUGUUGACCUUUGUUAUAUAAUCCGAGGCUCGGGGAAACAUAUUUGCAUAGACUUAGCCAUAUAUUGUAAAUAACUACAUGGGACAGUGUGUAUUUUUCCUUAAGAUGCAGUAUUAUAAGCAAGACAUUAAAUUAUGCCUAUCAGACAAAGCAGCCGGAUCUUUGCAGUUUUUUUUUUAUAGCACAUUCUAUUGGGAAGACAUCCCUGCCUCUAAAAAGCACAUGCAUUAAGUGCCUGAUUCAUGUGGUGACAUGUGGCAGAUCCAAAUGCGUUAUGGAUCUCUCAGGAAUAAAAACAACACAGCCAAACCAUCACCUUGGGAUGUUCAUUGAGUGAAUAUUUUACAGACACACGCCUUUUAUAUUUAGAUAAUAAUUUAGUGUUAUGACAAUUUUUUUAGCAGAGUUGGCAGUCUUUCUUUUUUAUAAUGGUAUUAUAUUUGUGAGCCUAUUAAGUGCAUAUGGGAUAAACUACAGAAAAAAGUAUUUUUCAUAAUUCCUCAGGGUGCUUCUAGCAAAAAAAAAAAUGCACAACACAACCGCCACCAAACAUAUUGGUUUAGAAAAAUGUUAAUAAAAGGUCAAGCAGAAGUUUCCAGUGCUUAGCAUGAUGGCCGUGGCGGUGCCGAGGCCUUGUUGGAAUGGAGCAACGAGGAGACGUGGGGACUGCUGGGGCCUCCAGUGGGAGAGCAUGACCUUCCUCCACAGGGACUGGGAGUUUUCAGCGAAGAAUCAAAGCAGCGAGCAGCUUUUCCCUCCGCCAUGAGCCCAGGCAGUGUCUGGUGUGGCCUGGGUCCCCAGGAGCCAGCAGCCCUGGGUAUGCAGGAACUCAGACCCUCUGCUAAGGGUCUUUCUGGGGGCUGGGGGAGUGAAUGGUGCAAACUUGGGGGGUACUUCUCCCCUUUUCCAUCUGGCUCCCCACACCCAGGGGAAAAGACAGGUGCACACGGUGUGUGUGGGGGCGCUGGGUGGAGUCCACCUGCCAAGGAGAAGAGCUAGGCCGAGGCUCCUGCCUGGCUGGGACCCCAUCCCCUCCCUGUGCUGAGGCCACCCCUUCCUGUGUCUCUUGCCACUGGGAGACCAGGCAAGGAAAGGGAGAAACUGUAUUUCUUAAUCUUGUUCUCUGGUUCCUGUCAAAGAACUUAUAAAAAUGCAAACCACAGAGCAUGGCUCCUUGAGGCUUUUUAUUUAGCAGUUGUCUGCGUCUUUGCGUGGUUCCGACACCGGGGAUGCUGACCGGCUUCCGACGAAAUAGAAACGUUCUCUGUAAAGAAGUGGAUGCAGAGUGGCUGCCUUGGAAUGGACCCAGCUGCACUUCACAGGGGCUGCAACAGCAGCGAAAGCCCACCCUCCCAUGGCCCCUGGGCGGUGGCCCUGGAGAGGACAGAGGAGCCAGGGGCAAGCCACAUUGUCUCAGGCCCUGCGUCCACUCUGCGUAAUUUUUUCACCAAGGACAGCAGAGGCAGGUGGGGCUCCGCCCUGCUGGUGGGUGCAGGGAUCAGACUCUUGGGGAGGCCCCCAGACUGGUGGCCGAAGCCUGCCACGGCCCGUGUGAGCAGAGAGCAGGUCUCGGUAUUGCCCGCAUGGCUGUUUCCCAUCAACCCCACAUUUCCCACUGGACAAGCGCUAAGCUGGGCGUCAGGCACACAGAGGCUAGUGAAGUUCACAGCCCUGGUCUUGUGGGGCUGGAGACUAAGCCAGCCGUCCCCGCGUGGAUAUUUUAUGACAGCCAUAGCAAGUGUGCCGUGAGAGUGGGAAAUGGCCAGGUGGUGCCGUGCAAGAUUGGAGCCUGUCUUGACUUCAAAUUUUGGUAAUUUUCCUUGUAGCUGAUUUUUAAAUGCAUGCAUUUUGAUUUUUUAAAAAUAUUGUGCUUCUCUUGAUUGCUGAAGUUUUAGGUGCUCUACUGAGGUGGGAGCGGUGUGGAAUUGGAGACUGGGGGGGUCCCUGACUUUCAGGGUAGUUCACUUUCCUAAUUAGCCCCCUGCAACGUACCCUGUCCCCCUCCUGUCCCAGGGAUAGGCACCAUGUUCUUCCUUCCACACCUCCAGCCGGGUUGUCAGAGGCCAGACCGUGCACAUAGGGGCUCACAGGAGGGAUUCUGGGCCUGUUCCUGGGCUUGAAUUCCCCUCCCUGUCCCCUGUGUGGUUCUCAGGCUCUUAAGCCAGCUCCCCCAGGUCUCGGCCGUGGUCCGGCUCAGGAAGUGCUAAUUGAACAUUCCUCCAGGGCCACCCUUGCUGAAGGCCCUGCUUGCCAAAGAGUGUAGUCUCCAGACUGGAAAGUUCAAGGCCUGCCUCCCCCUGGACCUCUGCUGUCUGCUCGCUCAGCUCCCAAGGCUCUGCGGGGACUUCCCUCACUGCUGCCUGGGUCUUCUCCCUGCAGAUUUCUGCCGAGUUCCCUGGGCUGGGUGCCUCUUUCUUUGCCCUCCCCUUUCUCCCUCUCCCAUCCCCUCCUUCUGUUCCUGUGGGUCCUCAGCAGGGCGGGGGUGGCGCAGGCUCUCAGGAAACACCUGCCAAUCACCCGCUUCUCCCUUUGGUCCUUGGAUCCCUUAAAGGCAUAGAUUGAGGGACAGCAUUCAGGGGUGAAGAUGUGGGAUAAAAUGCAUCCCUCUGGGAGGGCAUUUGGCACAGUGGUUAAGACGCUCUUCCCACAUCCUGGAUUGGGGUGCCUGAGUUCGAAUCCCAGCUCUGCUUCUGAUUCCAGCUUCCUGCUAAUGCAUGCCCUAGAAGGCAGCAGGUGAUGGCUCCAGUACUUGGGUUCCUGUCACUCACGUGUCACCCAGAUUGAGUACUGGGCUCUGCUAGCUUCGGCCUUGUCCAACCCUGGCUGUUGUGGGCCUUUGGGGGAGCAAACCAGUGGAAGGAAGGUCUCUGUCUCUUUCAAAUAAAUAACAAUUUAGGAAUGUGUCAUCUGUCUUUGGCAAGACUGCAUGCCAAAAAGGUGUCUGAGGGGGCAUCUGUGGCAGGGGCAGGUCAGUCCCUUAACUUGCCCUAGGGGUCUGCCUUUGACAAAGGCAGGGCUUGCUGUUGGGGAGGGGCUUACUUCUGGGGAGCCCUCCUUAAUAACAGGGGCAGGUGACACUGACAAUUCCUAAGAAGUAGGAAGGGAGCCAGCCCCUCUGUCUGAUCCUUUCCUUUCUAGAACAUUCCACACUAAUCUCGGGGAGUGAGCAUGGCUGAGCAUCUGCAUGGGGACCUGACGUAGGGACCAAAUGAGGAGUCUGGGUAGACUGAGUGGGCUUGCCUGCUCCCUGACCUGCACCGGCAAGCAGCCCCUCACCCUUGUGAGACACAGGGAACCCCCAAGGGCUCUGGGGGAGACAGCCCCACCCCGGGGUGCUGUAGGAUCUGGAGAGGCGUGUGGGGGACGGGGACUCCCCUGUGGAGCAGGGUGGCAGAUGAGCCUCGGGAGAAACUUUGGGGCUGGGGACAGCUGCGUCUCCCACUUUAUAUGCUCCCCCCAAUUUCCUCACACAGGGGGGAGAGGAGGCCCCUGGGACCACAGACCUUUACACGAGGGGCCCCUUUUCCCACCCCUACCCCACAAGCCUUCCCUUUCCUGCAGCGGCAACACCAUGGCCUGGCCAGUGUCUGCAGGUGGUGUCUGGGCCCUGCUGAGCCACUGGUCCCUGGGCAUCAGCUCUAAGGCUGAAAGGCUAUGGGCCAAGAGCACCUGCUUCUGGUACCUUCCUGCUCCUCCGCUGCCCUGGCCAGGAGCUAACUCUGAUUUCCCCAAAAUACAGCCGAAGGAGCCGUGAGCCUCCUGGCUCCUUGGGGGCUUCGGUGUUGGUUUUGUCCUUGGAGUCUAGGACAAGCCUGGGUGAUUAGCACCAUCUUACAGGUGGUGCCCAGAGACCUGGCCUUGUCCAACUUUACCUGCCUGCCAGGUGGGUGGUGAGGGCUCUAUUUCCAGCCUGCUGCUGGCAGUGGCCCUGCAGGCCGGCCCUGGCAGUGAGAGGUUGUGCUUCUGCCUCCUUAGCACACUGGGGAGUGGCCUACCAAGUGCUCGGUCGUGGGGGCAGAAGUCACCCGGACUCCUGCAGCCGAUGCUCAGUGGGAAAUCAGUGACAGCCUCGGAGGUCUGCCCAGAAACGUUGCUCGGAGACAAGCCCUCGGGUUGUGUCUGCUCACCUUUUCUGGGCUCCCCUGCACCUUCCUAGAUUUAGCAAACCCUUGCUGCGUGCCCACCCAGUGCCAGGCAUAGUACAAAGGGCCAGGGUAGAGCAGAGGAGUUCCAGUGCGAGGUGAGAUGCUGAUGGAUGCCCCCGUGUGCUCUCACGACAUCCUCGUGCAGAAGUGGUCAGAGUAGGGCAGGGGAGGGAGUGUUCCAGAACCUUCUGAGUUGAUGCCGUGGCUGCCUUGGUGUGGGGAGGGGGUCCCUGGGCCAGCUGCUUUGCCAUGGUGGUCUGGGGGGUGGUGUCAGAGACUUGAUGGCAGGAAGGUAUCUUUGGUCAGCUCUGGGUGUCCCAUCCUACAGAUCUUUCCCAGGAUCACACGGCAGGUCCUGGGUGAGUUGCAGUGGCAGCGCUGUGCACAGGGUCCUGCUAUGGGGUUACUCUCCUCUUAUGCACCUCACUCAGGACAGAUAGAUGCUCUGUUAGUGGCUAGACAGAAGCCCAGCCUGGAGUCCCAGCUAACCGCGUCCACACAGGUACCUCCUUCUCUGGUACCUUAAACCAGAUGGUGCACCUGGCCAUCAGGACACCGGCUGACCCCUCGAGUAGACUUGCACAGAUGGUCCCUGUCCUGAGCGUUCUCUCCUCCAGCAAGCAGAGAUGGGCAGGAAGCAUGGAAGCCACAAAUUCACGUCUUAGAUCUUUGACCCAGGGUCUGAGCGCCUGGAAGGCAAGGACCCAGAUCCGGUUUCCCCAGCUUCCGCCCGCUCCAGGAGUGUCUGCGGUUAUAAAGGAGCAGCUUCCCCAAGGGAGGGGCUGGGGCAGAAGCCAGUCUCUUCAGAACCUGGGGAGCAGGGUGCCAAGCGAUGGGUGUAGGGAGUGAGGAGAGGCAAAGACAUUGGUAAGACAUUGACGUGGAGAGCUGUAACCGAUGCCUCCAUCCUCCAAGACUGAUUUUAAAGAGGAAAGUCAGAGAUUUUCAUGGAAGGGAUGGUAAUGAUUUUAAGACGAGUGAGUAAGGAACUGUCUCGUUUCACCCCAUUCAAGACGGCGGGCCUACGUUAGAGCAUGGCAGGACAUCCACCCUGGAAAAGACAUCCGUGAACUCUGGCCCCCGAAAUGAAAGACCCCAGGUGAGACCCGGUGUGUUUUGCGCUUCCUCCCUGCCGUAACCUGGGGCACUGGGUACAGGAAAGCUCGGACCCAUCUGUGGCAGAGAAGUGUGAUUUCUGUGCUGGCGUUGUCACCAGUGGACACGCAGGCUCUUGUACGUCCUAAAUGAGCACCGUGAUCCAAUGGGAGCCUCUCCUUUGAUUGUUAAGACACCUGCUGUGUUAACUUUUUGGCCGGGCUCAGGCCAGUUCAUGAAAUGAUUUUUGGGCCAGGGAGGGAUGGAAAAUGCCUCAUCCUGCCAUCCGGUGGCUUCUGCCGCCACUCUCUCUCUCCAGGAACACGUGGAUUGACCGGGGGAGGCGGUGCCCGCACAUCCCUGUCGGUCAAAGGCUCUGGAGAAGAAAUGCAUGAGGACCUCAGUCCCCGGUGUCCUGCGGCUGCUUGUUCAGCUAGCAGGUGCCAACAGCCAAGGCUGCCAGCUGUCCACGGGCCAGGCCCAGGACAUGCCGUGGCCUCCUGCCCUGGGCCUCUCGGCUCUGCUCUCCACCAGGAGCAGAUGGCAUCCUGGGAAGACAAAGUUGACCCACACGGCUCUGUUGCACAGAGUCCUCCCAGAACCCCCACUGCACCCAGGAGAAGAACCCCGCUGGGUCCCGAGGGCUCCCCAGGGUUUCCUGCCCUGAUGCCGCCAGCUCUCUUGCCUUCUGGCUCAGAGACAUCCUGGCUGUUGACGUCGACACCAAGGCCUCCGCCCUCGCUGUAGAGGGAGCUGCAGGUGACCCGCUGCUCCCUUCUCUCAGGUCUCCUCUCUCUGUCACCUCCUCAGAGGGGCCCUCCCUGAAGCUCUCCUGAGAUAGCUCCCUCUUCUAGCCGGUCCACACCCCAUCCCUACCCCGCCUUGCUCUCCUUCCCAGCAGGUGUCACGGCAUCUUCCCAGACACCCCUUCAUCUGUCCCCUGAACCCCAGGACAGGUCGGCUCUGCCGGAGCAGACUUUGUCUUGUUUACCGCUGCUGCUAGGCUUCUAGAAUGUUCUUUGUUCUGGGAGCAUUUGAUGAAUAAAUAAAUGAAUGAGCCGACGCGCUCUUGCACCACUGGUGGCAGUGUAAGUCAGUACGACAUUUCUAGAAAACCACUAAAAGCAAUUUUUCUCAUUAACAAUUGAUAAGAAAUUGUUCAGUGCAGAAAAAAAUACUGAUCAGCAAAAAGGAUAUUAAAAAUUAUUUGAAUCCCACUGCCAUUCCUAUGGUUUAGAGGAAUCAUAUGGUCCUUUUUCUAUGUGUAUAGGAAGCAUGGUGACAUUGUAUAUAAAUUGCUUUAUCUACAGAAGAGCAUAUGAUGAAAAAUCCUUAAAUGUUAUUAAGGACAUUUCUAUGACAUUACUUGGGUGGACUCUAUUGUAUUAUCUAUUGUAUUAUGUCUAUCUAGCUAUGAUUGAUGCAUAGAUAUAAAAAAGCUAUAUAGUAUGCAUCUGUUUCUAGCUUACUUUAUAUAUGCAUAUUUAUUUGUAU